ACCAACAGGGAUUGCCCCAGUAACGGCGAGUGAAGCGGCAAGAGCUCAAAUUUGAAAUCUGGCCUCCCCCGGGGGUCCGAGUUGUAAUUUGCAGAGGAUGCUUCGGGCGCGGCCCCCGUCUAAGUUCCUUGGAACAGGACGUCAGAGAGGGUGAGAAUCCCGUCUUGGGCGGGCGGCCCGCGCCCGUGUGAAGCUCCUUCGACGAGUCGAGUUGUUUGGGAAUGCAGCUCUAAGCGGGUGGUAAAUUUCAUCUAAAGCUAAAUACCGGCCGGAGACCGAUAGCGCACAAGUAGAGUGAUCGAAAGGUUAAAAGCACCUUGAAAAGGGAGUUAAACAGCACGUGAAAUUGUUGAAAGGGAAGCGCUUGCGGCCAGACUCGGGGGGCGGGGUUCAGCGGGCGCUCGUCGCCCGUGCACUGCCCGCUCCCCGGGCCAGCAUCAGCUUCGACGGCCGGUCAAAGGCCCCCGGAAUGUGUCGUCUCUAGGGACGUCUUAUAGCCGGGGGUGCAAUGCGGCCCGUCGAGACUGAGGAACGCGCUCCGGCUCGGAUGCUGGCGUAAUGGCCGUAAGCGGC
rnacentral:rRNA from 1 species